rnacentral:rRNA from 1 species
UGGGGAAUAUUGCACAAUGGAGGGAACUCUGAUGCAGCGACGCCGCGUGAGUGAUGAAGGAAUUCGUUUCGUAAAACUCUGUUCUAUGGGAAGAAAAGGACUGUACCAUAGGAGAAAGCUCCGGCUAAAUACGUGCCAGCAGCCGCGGUAAUACGUAUGGAGCGAGCGUUGUCCGGAAUUAUUGGGGGUAAAGGGUGCGCAGGCGGCUUUACAAGUUGGAUGUGAAAUAUUGUGGCUCAACCACAAACGUGCAUCCAAAACUGCAAAGCUUGAGUUAAGGGGAGGUAAGUGGAAUUCCUGGUGUGGCGGUGGAAUGCGUAGAUAUCAGGAGAAAUACCGGUGGCGAAGGCGACUUACGGGACUUAAACUGACGCUCAGGGACGAAAGCGUGGGGGGCAAACAGG